UACGGGGGGGGCAAGCGUUGUUCGGAAUUACUGGGCGUAAAGGGCUCGUAGGCGGCCAACUAAGUCAGACGUGAAAUCCCUCGGCUUAACCGGGGAACUGCAUCUGAUACUGGAUGGCUUGAGUUCGGGAGAGGGAUGCGGAAUUCCUGGUGUAGCGGUGAAAUGCGUAGAUAUCAGGAGGAACACCGGUGGCGAAGGCGGCUUUCUGGACAGAAACUGACGCUGAUGCGCGAAAGCUAGGGGAGCAAACAGG
rnacentral:rRNA from 1 species